rnacentral:lncRNA from 1 species
UUGAGAAAGGGUAGCUGGGGUAGUGCAUCUCUCCAGCCACGAACUAUUUCUUCCCUGGGGAUAGCAUUUCCUUAUUAUGCCUUCCUGUCAUCAUCACCUUCUUCUUGUCUGAGCUCAUCAACAUUGCAGCCAAAUUACUGUGCUGCUAAGUCACUGGGAAAAUCAGGACCCCACACUAAGAUGAUCAUCUUAGAAAUGCACAAAA